UACGGAGGGUGCGAGCGUUAAUCGGAAUUACUGGGCGUAAAGCGUGCGUAGGCGGCUUGCCAAGUCAGAUGUGAAAGCCCUGGGCUCAACCUGGGAACGGCAUUUGAAACUGGCGGGCUAGAGUUAGGUAGAGGGGGGCGGAAUUCCGGGUGUAGCGGUGAAAUGCGUAGAUAUCCGGAGGAACACCAGUGGCGAAGGCGGCCCCCUGGACCCAGACUGACGCUGAGGCACGAAAGCGUGGGUAGCAAACAGG
rnacentral:rRNA from 1 species